AGGAGGAAUUACAAAUAAAAAUAAAAAAUUGAGUGCCACGUAGUUGCGCUUUCUCAGUAUGCGAGAAGAGAACCAGUGUGGGUCCCACUAGACUAAAUGCACACGCUUAAUGGGAUAUGAGGGCCACGCGCCUCCACUUUUAAUGGCAAAUGCCUGAAUUCACUAAGUAGUGUAACGGAAAACGGGGAGUACGUGUGGUCGAGGAAGCGAUGAAGGGUAUAUGCGGUUUUGUGAAGAAUCGGAUGUGGCGCGAGAAGGACAGAGUCGGACGGUCGCAUCCGGUGAGAGGCGGAUCUGGAGAAACAGUCGGCUGAUGAGAUUUGGCGGAAAGCGGUUAAUAUUUCGAAUUAGGUUCCCAAUGUUGCCAACAAGCUUCUUUGGAGGAGGGAGAGAAGAGAGCGAGUUUCGCCAGGUAAAAUUUCUGACCGCGUUCGGAUUUGAGAUCCUAGCGUUUCUUCUCUUUUUAAUCUCUCCUCUAGCGGGGAGUUGAAACAGAGCAGACGACAAUGGGAUGGUGGAGCAGGAUGACCUCUCCGUUGCGAAGAUUUAGCUUCAGAGUCGCGUCUCGUCUAGGAUUUCGCAAACGCGGGCUGCUGAAACUUGGGCGAGAUGUGAGGGCUUGCGAAUACGGGGACGUGCAGGUGAUGUGGGAGAUGGUGAAGAGAAACGAAAAGGAGGUGGUUGGCGUCCAGGAGAGACGGCGAAAGAGGAGAUCGUUGUUGAAUAUCUUCUGGUGGGGUGGAUCAGGUGCAUGCAUUGGCUGCAGAUUCUGAACAAUUCACUUCACAGUCCAUCCCCACUCUUCUGUUCUAAAUCCGGCACCGUGAAUUUGGGUCACAAACAGAUUCAAAGUUGAAGAACAACGCUGCACUCUACACUAAUUCGAAGAAGAGGAAGAAGUGAUUGCGCAGUUUAAUCCAAUCUUGACUAGACCCUCUCUCUUCUCUCCUUGCUUCCUUAUCUAUGAAAUAAUAAACUAAAUUUUGGU